rnacentral:rRNA from 1 species
CCUACGGGUGGCAGCAGUAGGGAAUCUUCCACAAUGGACGAAAGUCUGAUGGAGCAACGCCGCGUGAGUGAAGAAUGGUUUCGGCUCUUAAAGCUCUGUUUGUAGUGGAGAAAGAUAGAGGUAGUAACUGGCCUUUUUUUGACUUUAAUUACUUAGAAAGUCACGGCUAACUACGUGCCAGCAGCCGCGGUAAUACGUAGGUGGCAAGCGUUGUCCGGUUUUAUUGGGCGUAAAGCGAGUGCAGGCGGUUCAAUAAGUCUGAUGUGAAAGCCUUCGGCUCAACCGGAGAAUUGCAUCAGAAACUGGUGGACUUGAGUGCAGAAGAGGAGAGGGGAACUCGAUGUGUAGCGGUGGAAUGCGUAGAUAUAUGGAAGAACACCAGUGGCGAAGGCGGCUCUCUGGUCUGCAACUGACGCUGAGGCUCGAAAGCAUGGGUAGCGAACAGGAUUAGAUACCCCGGUAGUC